rnacentral:rRNA from 1 species
UCCUACGGGAGGCAGCAGUGGGGAAUAUUGGACAAUGGACCAAAAGUCUGAUCCAGCAAUUCUGUGUGCACGAUGACGGUCUUCGGAUUGCAAAGUGCUUUCAGUUGGGAAGAAAGAAAUGACGGUACCAACAGAAGAAGCGACGGCUAAAUACGUGCCAGCAGCCGCGGUAAUACGUAUGUCGCAAGCGUUAUCCGGAUUUAUUGGGCGUAAAGCGCGUCUAGGUGGUUUGAUAAGUCUGAUGUGAAAAUGCGGGGCUCAACUCCGUAUUGCGUUGGAAACUGUCAAACUAGAGUAUCGGAGAGGUGGGCGGAACUACAAGUGUAGAGGUGAAAUUCGUAGAUAUUUGUAGGAAUGCCGAUAGAGAAGUCAGCUCACUGGACGAAUACUGACACUGAAGCGCGAAAGCAUGGGGAGCAAACAGGAUUAGACACCCUGGUAGUCCAUGCCGUAAACGAUGAUUACUAAGCGUCGGGGGUCGAACCUCGGCACUCAAGCUAACGCGAUAAGUAAUCCGCCUGGGGAGUACGUACGCAAGUAUGAAACUCAAAUGAAUUGACGG